rnacentral:rRNA from 1 species
GACGAGCGCUGGCGGCGUGCUUAACACAUGCAAGUCGAACGGAAAGGCCCUGCUUUUGUGGGGUGCUCGAGUGGCGAACGGGUGAGUAACACGUGAGUAACCUGCCCUUGACUUUGGGAUAACUUCAGGAAACUGGGGCUAAUACCGGAUAGGAGCUCCUGCUGCAUGGUGGGGGUUGGAAAGUUUCGGCGGUUGGGGAUGGACUCGCGGCUUAUCAGCUUGUUGGUGGGGUAGUGGCUUACCAAGGCUUUGACGGGUAGCCGGCCUGAGAGGGUGACCGGCCACAUUGGGGCUGAGAUACGGCCCAGACUCCUACGGGAGGCAGCAGUGGGGAAUAUUGCACAAUGGGCGGAAGCCUGAUGCAGCAACGCCGCGUGCGGGAUGACGGCCUUCGGGUUGUAAACCGCUUUCGCCUGUGACGAAGCGUGAGUGACGGUAAUGGGUAAAGAAGCACCGGCUAACUACGUG